rnacentral:rRNA from 1 species
UUGACCUCGGAUCAGGUAGGGAUACCCGCUGAACUUAAGCAUAUCAAUAAGCGGAGGAAAAGAAACCAACAGGGAUUGCCUNAGUAACGGCGAGGGAAGCGG